rnacentral:lncRNA from 1 species
GUUAUGGGGUGGCUAUGGGGCACAGGGGCGGUUAUGGGGUGGUUGUGGGGCAGUUAUGGGGCACAGGCGGUGGCUAUGGGGCAGUUGUGGGGUUCCUAUGGGGUCGCUAUGGGGCACAGUGGUUCCUAUGGGGUCCCUACAGGGUCUCUGUGGGAUCUCAGUGUGUCCUUAUGGGGUCCUUAUGGGGUCCUUAUGGGGUUCUAUGGGUCCCUAUGGGUCUGUGUGUCCCUAUGGGUCCCUAUGGGUCCUUAUGGGGUCGUUAUGGGGCCGUUUUGGGGCCGCCCUGCAGCCAUGGGGGAGCCGAGCGACCUGGGUUCCUAUGGGGUCCCUAUGGUUUGCUACAGGUUCCUACAGGUUCUAUGGGGUUUUAUGGGGUCCUUAUGGGGUUCUAUGGGUCUGUGGGUCCCUAUGGGUCCUUAUGGGGUCGUUAUGGGGUCGUUAUGGGGCCAUUUUGGGGCCGGCCUG